rnacentral:rRNA from 1 species
GACGAACGCUGGCGGCGUGCUUAACACAUGCAAGUCGAACAGAAAGGCCCUGCUUUUGUGGGGUGCUCGAGUGGCGAACGGGUGAGUAACACGUGAGUAACCUGCCCUUGACUUUGGGAUAACUUCAGGCAACUGGGGCUAAUACCGGAUAGGAGCUCCUGCUGCAUGGUGGGGGUUGGAAAGUUUCGGCGGUUGGGGAUGGACUCGCGGCUUAUCAGCUUGUUGGUGGGGUAGUGGCUUACCAAGGCUUUGACGGGUAGCCGGCCUGAGAGGGUGACCGGCCACAUUGGGACUGAGAUACGGCCCAGACUCCUACGGGAGGCAGCAGUGGGGAAUAUUGCACAAUGGGCGGAAGCCUGAUGCAGCAACGCCGCGUGCGGGAUGACGGCCUUCGGGUUGUAAACCGCUUUCGCCUGUGACGAAGCGUGAGUGACGGUAAUGGGUAAAGAAGCACCGGCUAACUACGUG